GGGCAUGUAGCGUAGGGGUUAUCGCGUUCGCUUUGCAUUCACGGCAUUGCGAAAGGUCUCCGGUUCAAAUCCGGACUUGUCCA
rnacentral:tRNA from 1 species